CAGCAGCCGCGGUAAUACGUAGGGUGCGAGCGUUAAUCGGAUUUACUGGGCGUAAAGCGUGCGCAGGCGGCCCGUUAAGACAGGUGUGAAAUCCCUGGGCUCAACCUAGGAAUUGCGCUUGUGACUGGCGGGCUCGAGUACGGUAGAGGGGGGUGGAAUUCCUGGUGUAGCAGUGAAAUGCGUAGAGAUCAGGAGGAACACCGAUGGCGAAGGCAGCCCCCUGGGCCUGUACUGACGCUCAUGCACGAAAGCGUGGGGAGCAAACAGGAUUAGAUACCCUGGUAGUCCACGCCCUAAACGAUGGGUACUAGCCGUUUGGUGCGCGAUAGCGCUGAGUGGCGAAGCUAACGCGUGAAGUACCCCGCCUGGGGAGUACGGCCGCAAGGUUGAAACUUAAAGGAAUUGGCAGG
rnacentral:rRNA from 1 species